rnacentral:rRNA from 1 species
UACGAAGGGGGCUAGCGUUGCUCGGAAUCACUGGGCGUAAAGCGCACGUAGGUGGUUUCUUAAGUCAGGGGUGAAAUCCCGGAGCUCAACUCCGGAACUGCCUUUGAUACUGGGAGACUUGAGUUCGGGAGAGGUGAGUGGAACUGCGAGUGUAGAGGUGAAAUUCGUAGAUAUUCGCAAGAACACCAGUGGCGAAGGCGGCUCACUGGCCCGAUACUGACACUGAGGUGCGAAAGCGUGGGGAGCGAACAGG